AUUGAACGCUGGCGGCAUGCCUUACACAUGCAAGUCGAACGGCAGCGGGCCUUCGGGUGCCGGCGAGUGGCGAACGGGUGAGUAAUGCAUCGGAACGUGCCAUUGAGUGGGGGAUAACGUAGCGAAAGUUACGCUAAUACCGCAUAUUCUGUGAGCAGGAAAGCAGGGGACCGCAAGGCCUUGCGCUCUUUGAGCGGCCGAUGUCAGAUUAGCUAGUUGGUGAGGUAAAGGCUUACCAAGGCGACGAUCUGUAGCGGGUCUGAGAGGAUGAUCCGCCACACUGGAACUGAGACACGGUCCAGACUCCUACGGGAGGCAGCAGUGGGGAAUUUUGGACAAUGGGCGCAAGCCUGAUCCAGCCAUGCCGCGUGAGUGAAGAAGGCCUCGGGUUGUUAAAGGUACGUCUUUCGGUCCCGGGAAGGAAAGUACGCAU
rnacentral:rRNA from 1 species